UAUGUAUAGAGAAAGAGCAGUGGGAAUGGGGUCAACCCUGGGGGAAUCACCAAUACCUAAAGAAUGGGAGGAAGGAGGAUUCUCGGAGGAGAAAUAAAAAGGAAGCUGCCCAAUGCUCACGAAGUAUCUUCAUCACUUGGAAAGAGACUGUAUGUGCAUUUGGUUUUUAAGUGGAUAAAAAUCCUCCACUGUCAAAUAAAUCACAGUAAACAAAUAUGAGUAUCAAAUGGUUUCCGUGAGAGAAAUAUUACAUUCUAGCAAAUUAUUAGAAAACAUCAGAUGAAUUUGAACUGGAUACUUUGGCACAGACCGGAGAAUAAGAAGACAGAAGGCAGAUUUUGUAUUAUCUGUUCCAACCUCAUUCGUGCAACUAUUUCAGUGGAUAAGUUGGGUGACUCUUGCUCUGCUGGCGCCUGAAUUUUUGCACAUA